rnacentral:rRNA from 1 species
UGGCGAACGGGUGAGUAACACGUGGGUGAUCUGCCCUGCACUUUGGGAUAAGCCUGGGAAACUGGGUCUAAUACCAGAUAGGACCAUGCUUUGGAUGGUGUGGUGGAAAGUUUUUUCGGUGUGGGAUGAGCUUGCGGCCUAUCAGCUUGUUGGUUGGGGUAAUGGCCUACCAAGGCGUCGACGGGUAGCCGGCCUGAGAGGGUGUACGGCCACAUUGGGACUGAGAUACGGCCCAG